ACGCUGGCGGCAUGCCUAACACAUGCAAGUCGAAACGAAGCCUUCGGGCUUAGUGGCGCACGGGGUGCGUAACACGUGGGAAUCUGCCCUUUGGUUCGGAAUAACAGUUAGAAAUGACUGCUAAUACCGGAUAAUGACGUAAGUCCAAAGAUUUAUCGCCGAAGGAUGAGCCCGCGUAGGAUUAGGUAGUUGGUGGGGUAAUGGCCCACCAAGCCGACGAUCCUUAGCUGGUCUGAGAGGAUGAUCAGCCACACUGGGACUGAGACACGGCCCAGACUCCUACGGGAGGCAGCAGUGGGAAUAUUGGACAAUGGGCGAAAGCCUGGUCCAGCAAUGCCGCGUGAGUGAUGAAGGCCUUAGGGUUGUAAAGCUCUUUUACCAGGGAUGAUAAUGACAGUACCUGGAGAAUAAGCUCCGGCUAACUCCGUG
rnacentral:rRNA from 1 species